UACAAUAUUUUCAUCUUGGAAGAACCUUCGUGGGUUACUUCAUUUGUGAGACGAAAUAUCCCAAAAGUGACCUUUUUAUUUUUAAUUAAACACUGUUCUUUAAAUACCGAGUUUUUUCUUCUUCGUAUUUUCAAGGUCAGAUACACAACACAAUCCAAAACCUGAUGUUUACAUUCUUGUUGACACAAAGGUUCCCGCGAACAAAUUAUUUAACGCACUAAAGUUUCCGAAAGUCAUCAGCGCCAUCUUGUGGUGAAAUUUAUAAUUUCAGUCCAAAUGAGGAACGUGUUUCUUCAGAGGGAAAUACAUCUCGGCAGAUAUUAUAAGAUUUCUUCUUCUGCUGCUGCCUUUCAUUUUAUUUGAUUUUAUUUUGAUUGCAUG